GCUAGGGAUGUGUGACCGUAAACCUGUACAUAUCCCACUCCUCGGUCUCUUCACAGGAUAGAUCCUGAACACUCAGAGUCGUGACCCAAUUGUGGUCAUGACUCAUGCUCCUUUGACCACAUGCUCUGGCUGUGCCCAGCCCUUAACGCCUCUCCACCCAUCACGAAAGAACAAUGGCAGGACUCUCUCAAGAGCAGCAAUCUCAACAUUCAACUCCAGGCUGUCCAGAGGGCCCACGACAUUGCCGCGGGACUUGAUCUCCCGGUUCCAUCGUGGGCGGAGCCACCGACUUGAUCUUCGGGAGCCUUCGGUUUGGCUCCCCGAGGUCUCAGUCCCUCAGGACUCAAAUAAAGUUCUUGUCAUGUCAUGUCAUGUGUGACCGUGGCGCCUAGAUGUUUUAACGCGAUAGCUUUAGAGCGCAUGCUCGAAGAAGAACCCGUCUGUGUCAAAAUUAGAAAGAAAUCACCACUUUCUUUACUCAUUUAUUUCAGGAAAAACCUUGUUAAAUCGAGUUUGGCCAAGUUUGUUUCGUUAAUUCGGGUUAAUGAUAACAUUGAACCCUAUGGGUACCUGCCGGGGAAUGGAAAUUUCUUUAUUAGAUUGAGAACUUCGUAAAAUCGGUUUCGUUUGAUCAAGUUUUAACUGUAUUAGGUUGCCCUGUAAAAGAUAACCACCCUCCUGCUCACAGCAUUAUUGAGCUGAGGCUAGGCUUGCAAACAGCGAGAAUGUAAUAAGGAAGAAGUAGUGGCAAGGAUGGCAGCUCCAGCUUGUGCACUCUUGCUAUAUUUCCACUUCCAGGGUGACGCCCACUAUCAUGUGUGGGUCAAACAAGAUGUGUGGAGAAAUGUACUUGCAGAAUUUUGCAUAUUGCGUAUUGAUGUUCCUUUUUCAACGUUUAUUUUUUAUUUUUUUUUCUGGCAAUGCAGGACUGCCAUGAUGCUGAAGACUUCCCUGACUAGGCUCCUAAAGUCACACAGUACUACGAUGCAAAAGCAAAAGCAGUGCAGCCACUAUAACUGGAUCAUGAAAAUUUGAUACAAAACCGUGCACGACCUUUGGACAGAGGGCCCCAGUCAGAGCAAUGGCGUUGGCCACCAAGUGGAGGUGCAGGCAAGGGGCAGAAUUCACCUACAAGAGAGGCACCAUGGCACAACCCAGGGGCCGCUCUGACCAUGCCUGCAGUGACCUUCAAUCUUCUAGCACAGAUGGGGCACACAGAGACCUCCAUUGGCACAAGGACUGUCACCAACUGUACAGGGAUUGACAGUGAUAUUGCACGUGGGGCCCUCAUAGCCUGAGCGGCAAAGGCAGUUUACAGUCCCCUGGCCUGGUGAGCAGGCCUCUGGACUAAGUGCCCCUGGCCUGGCCGUCUUCUGGUUGGGGGCACACUUGACACAACUGGUCUGACCAUCCUGGGGCU